CAGAGAGAGACAUGCGCGCAUAUCAAUAAGCGGAGGAAAAGAAACUAACAAGGAUUCCCUUAGUAACGGCGAGUGAAGCGGGAAGAGCUCAAAUUUGAAAUCUUCAAGGUUCUACCUUGACGAAUUGUAGUUUAUAGAAGUGUUUUCUGUUAGUGGAGUGGCAAAAGUUCUUUGGAAUAGGACAUCAUAGAGGGUGAGAAUCCCGUAUUUGGUCAUUCCUCCUAGCGUUGUGAUACACUUUCAACGAGUCGGAUUGUUUGGGAAUGCAGUCCAAAAUGGGUGGUAAAUUUCAUCUAAAGCUAAAUAUUGGCGAGAGACCGAUAGCGAACAAGUACCGUGAGGGAAAGAUGAAAAGAACUUUGAAAAGAGAGUUAAACAGUACGUGAAAUUGUCAAAAGGGAAGCGUUUGACACCAGUGUUGUUUUUCCGAAAAUCAAUUACGAAUGUUUUAGUUUUUGAGGAGUUAUGACUUCAUCGGCUUGCUCCUUUCUUUAUGAAACUUUCUUAAUGCACUUUUCGGUUAACAAGUCAACAUCAAUUUCUUUUGUUGUAAAAGGGUAUGAGGAAGGUGGCUUUCUUUUCGGAGAAAGUGUUUAUAGCCUUGUGCCUCUGCAAUCGGAGAGAUUGAGGUCUGCAGCGUAGAUCCUUCGGGGUUAGAUACAGUUUGUGCUAAGUUAUAGCUUUUCAUAGACAACUUGUUGACUAUGUUUAGUCUUGUAGCUUACUCGCUUAUGCUAUUUUACCUACGCUUAGGAUGUUGAUAGUCACAGCGUGUAC
rnacentral:rRNA from 1 species